UUUGUCUGUGGUUUCUCGGAUUGGAAUUUUGAAAAUCAUUGUUCGAUCGAUCUUCAAGAUGUGAAGGAUAUUAGAAAAUCUUUCGGCAAUCAAUCUUAGGGCUCGUCCCAAAAUGUGCAUAAUUUAGAGUCUUAGAGCCUACCUAAAAUGGCGGCUGCUAAUCUUUUCCCUUCAAUUUAACAUAACUUGCAAAACCUAAUGUAACGUCAACCACCUCUUCGUCUUGCCACGCGGUCUGCAGGCGCCGUCGUUGGUAUAGGAAAUAAUGGACCCGGCAUAAACCCCGGGUUUUUUCCUGGACCCUGGUUUUUCUGGACCCUGGUUCUCUAAGGCUGUGCCAUCCGGUGGCAGCGUUCUUCUUGGCAGUGUCCGUGAAGUUAAGACUUUUAUGAAUAUACCUUUAGUUAAAUAUGGACUCUUUACGCUGAACAGGUAACCUGUAAUCCCUGUGAGCAAUUGCUUACUGCUAAACAUCCCCGGAGGUUGGGGCAUAACUUUUACUUUAGACAGUGUUAUGUUAGGAAGACAAAUUUUGAUAUUGUUGUCCGUAGACACAGAGAUGUCUAUGAUGUAUUUAGUGUAAAUUUCAAGAAAUAGUGGUGUCACUAAGAAGUAUUUAGUAUUACUUAUUUACUAAUAAAUAACUCGUGUUGACCGUAGCGGGUCAUAUAUAUUUAAGGAAUAAAGGUGUGUAUUAAAUAAA